rnacentral:rRNA from 1 species
GAUGAACGCUGGCGGCGUGCUUAACACAUGCAAGUCGAACGAGAAAUGUAGACGGACACCUUCGGGCGGAAGCCUUCAUUUCGAGUGGCGGACGGGUGAGUAACGCGUGGGUAACCUGCCUCAUACAGGGGGAUAACAGUUGGAAACGACUGUUAAUACCGCAUAAAACCACAGCAUCGCAUGAUGCGGGGGUAAAAACUCCGGUGGUAUGAGAUGGACCCGCGUUCGAUUAGCCAGUUGGCGGGGUAACGGCCCACCAAAGCGACGAUCGAUAGCCGAUCUGAGAGGAUGACCGGCCACAUUGGGACUGAGACACGGCCCAAACUCCUACGGGAGGCAGCAGUGGGGAAUAUUGCACAAUGGGGGAAACCCUGAUGCAGCGACGCCGCGUGAGUGAAGAAGUACUUCGGUAUGUAAAGCUCUAUCAGCAGGGAAGAAAAUGACGGUACCUGAGUAAGAAGCCCCGGCUAACUACGUG